AGAGUUUGAUCCUGGCUCAGAAUGAACGCUGGCGGCAUGGAUUAGGCAUGCAAGUCGAACGGGUACUCCGCCGCAAGGUGGAGGAAAGUGGCGAAAGGGUGAGGAACACGUGAGCAACCUGCCCUCAAGUUCGGGAUAGGCCCGGGAAACUGGGAUUAAUACCGGAUGUGGUCUUCGGUCGCAUGGCCGGAACACUAAAGGAGCAAUUCGCUUGAGGAUGGACUCGCGUCCCAUCAGCUAGUUGGCGGGGUAACAGCCCACCAAGGCAAAGACGGGUAGCUGGUCUGAGAGGAUGGUCAGCCACACUGGGACUGAGACACUGCCCAGACUCCUACGGGAGGCUGCAGUCGAGAAUCUUCCGCAAUGGGCGCAAGCCUGACGGAGCGAUGCCGCGUGGGGGAUGAAGGUCUUCGGAUUGUAAACCCCUGUCACCCGGAAAGAAGUCAGUGACGGUACCGGGAGAGGAAGCACCGGCUAACUACGUGCCAGCAGCCGCGGUAAUACGUAGGGUGCGAGCGUUAUUCGGAUUUACUGGGCGUAAAGGGUCCGCAGGGGGUUUGCCAAGUCUGGUGUGAAAGCCCGGAGCUCAACUCCGGAACGGCACUGGAAACUGGCGGACUUCGAGUGCACGAGGGGAAAGCAGAAUUCCUGGUGUAGCGGUGGAAUGCGUAGAUAUCAGGAGGAAUACCGAUGGCGAAGGCGGCUUUCUGGCGUGCCACUGACCCUCAUGGACGAAAGCGUGGGUAGUAAACAGGAUUAGAUACCCUGGUAGUCCACACUGUAAACGGUGUGCACUAGAUGUGGGCGGAGAUUUGGUCCCGUCCGUGUCCAAGCUAACGCGUUAAGUGCACCGCCUGGGGACUACGGCCGCAAGGCUAAAACUCAAAGGAAUUGACGGGGGCCCGCACAAGCGGUGGAGCAUGUGGCUCAAUUCGAGGCAACGCGAAGAACCUUACCUGGGCUUGACAUGUACGUGCCAGCCGUGGAAACACGGUCUUCCCCGCAAGGGGACGCGUACACAGGUGCUGCAUGGCUGUCGUCAGCUCGUGCCGUGAGGUGUUCGGUUAAGUCCGGCAACGAGCGCAACCCGUGUCACCAGUUGCUACCGGGUAAUGCCGGGCACUCUGGCGAGACUGCCCGUGUCAAGCGGGAGGAAGGCGCGGAUGACGUCAAGUCCGUAUGGCCCUUACGUCCAGGGCUGCACACGUGCUACAACGGGCGGCACAAAGGGGUGCAAGACCGCAAGGUGGAGCCAAUCCCCAAAACCGCCCUCAGUUCAGAUUGAAGUCUGCAACUCGACUUCAUGAAGUUGGAAUCGCUAGUAAAGGGAUAUCAGCUACGGUCCCUUGAAUACGUUCCCGGGCCUUGUACACACCGCCCGUCACAUCAUGGAAGCUGGCUGCACCCAAAGUUCCGCUUCGUGCGGACCUAAGGUGUGUCCAGUGACUGGGAUGAAGUCGUAACAAGGUA
rnacentral:rRNA from 1 species